rnacentral:lncRNA from 10 species
CAAAGUGCUGGGAUUACAGGCGUGAGCCACCGCGCCCGGCCAAACAAAUGUUUUUUAAAAAAAUUAUCAGGAAAAGCCUCCCGGAGAAGGGUGCAUCUGAGCAGAGACUUGAGUAAUAGGAAGGAGCUGGCAAAGUGAAUGUCAGAGGAAGCGUGUCCAGGCAGAGCACACAGCAAGUGCAAAGGCCCUGAGGUAGAGCAUGUGUGGAGGAGCAAGGAGGGCAGUGUGGCUGGGGCAGAGCGAGGAAAGGGAGAAUGGAGAGGCAACGUCUAAAGAUAGGGGACCACAUGGCUUUGCUGGGACUCCUCGUAGAAACUGGGGACUUUGUCAAGACUUUGACUUUUACUCUGGGGGAGAUGGUACUGAGCCAGAGAGAGCUUGGAUUUGUGUUUUAAGGGAUACUCUAAGUGCUGGUUGGAAAAGAGUUGGUUGGGGGUUAAGACUAGAAGUUGGUAGACCAGUUGGCAGCCCAGGAAGCCCUGCUGGAUGAGAGGCGGCAGGGGCUGGACUGGGUGUUGGCACUGGAGAUGGUGAGGAGUGGUCAAUUCCUAGAUACGUCUCAAAGCACAAGGACAACGCUUGCUGAGGGACUGGACACAGGAUGAGGAGUAGGGAGGAAGCCUGCCCGAUCCCCCGCACCUGAGCAAAUGCGGUACCAGUUACUGAGAUAGGGAAGAUGGAGAAGAACAGAUCUGGGUUGAAUAGGUGGGGAGGCGUCAGGUGUUCUCUUUUAGACAUGUUAAAUUUGAGAAUGCUGGCCAGGCGCGGUGGCUCACACCUGUAAUCCCAGCACUUUGGGAGACCGAGGCAGGCAGAUCACCUGAGGUGGGGAGUUCGAGUCCAGCCUGACUAACAUGGAGAAACCCCGUUUCUACUAAAAAUACAAAAUUAGCCAGGCGUGGUGGUGCAUGCCUGUAAUCUCAGCUACUCGGGAGGCUGAGGCAGGAGAAUCGCUUGACGAGACUCCGUCUCAAAAAAAAGAAAAAAAAUCAUCAGUGAGGGUGGACGAAGAGGACUGGAGGUUCCCCUCCUCCAUAGCAGCUUUUGUUUUUGUUGUUGUUGUUUUGUUUUUUUGACAUGGAAUCUCACUCUGUGGCCCAGGCUAGAGUGCAGUGGCUCGAUCUCAGCUCACUGCAACCUCUGCCUCCCAGGUUCAAGUGAUUCUCUUGCCUCAGCCUCCCAAGUAGCUGGGAUUAUAGGCACCUGCCAUCACGCCUGGCUAA